rnacentral:rRNA from 1 species
AGGACGAACGCUGGCGGCGUGCUUCAUACAUGCAAGUCGAACGAGGUCGAUCCGGUGGCAACACCGGUGAAGACCUAGUGGCGAACGGGUGAGUAACACGUGAGCAAUCUGCCCCGAAGACCGGGACAACAGCGGGAAACCGCUGCUAAUACCGGAUACCCUCCACAGGCCACAUGGCCAGUUGAGGAAAUGGAUUCCGCUUCGGGAGGGGCUCGCGGCCUAUCAGCUAGUUGGUGGGGUAAUGGCCUACCAAGGCGACGACGGGUAGCUGGUCUGAGAGGACGAUCAGCCACACUGGGACUGAGACACGGCCCAGACUCCUACGGGAGGCAGCAGUAGGGAAUCUUGCGCAAUGGGCGAAAGCCUGACGCAGCAACGCCGCGUGAGGGAUGAAGGCUCGUAGGGUUGUAAACCUCUUUCAAGUGGGGACGAUAAUGACGGUACCCGCAGAAGAAGCUCCGGCCAACUACGUGCCAGCAGCCGCGGUAA